rnacentral:rRNA from 1 species
GACGAACGCUGGCGGCGUGCUUAACACAUGCAAGUCGAACGGAAAGGCCUGCUUUCCCUUGUGGAUUGCGGGUACUCGAGUGGCGAACGGGUGAGUAACACGUGAGUGAUCUGCCCCCAACUUGGGUAUAAGCCUGGGAAACUGGGUCUAAUUCCCGAUAGGACUGCAGGGUGGUGCCUGUGGUGGAAAACGAUUUUCUAGUGGUUGGGGGUGAGCUCGCGGCCUAUCAGCUUGUUGGUGGGGUAAUGGCCUACCAAGGCGGCGACGGGUAGCCGGCCUGAGAGGGUGGACGGCCACAUUGGGACUGAGAUACGGCCCAGACUCCUACGGGAGGCAGCAGUGGGGAAUAUUGCACAAUGGGCGGAAGCCUGAUGCAGCGACGCCGCGUGGGGGAAGACGGCCUUCGGGUUGUAAACUCCUUUCGACCGCGAGGAAGCCACCUGGUUGGAAGGGUGGUGACGGUAGUGGUAGAAGAAGCACCGGCUAACUACGUG